rnacentral:rRNA from 1 species
UGGGUAAACUCAGGCUAAUACCGCAUAAUGUCUGAGGACGAAAGCUGGGGACCUUCGGGCCUGGCGCUUUAAGAUUAGCCUGCGUCCGAUUAGCUAGUUGGUGGGGUAAGGGCCUACCAAGGCGACGAUCGGUAGCUGGUCUGAGAGGAUGACCAGCCACACUGGAACUGAGACACGGUCCAGACUCCUACGGGAGGCAGCAGUGGGGAAUAUUGGACAAUGGGGGCAACCCUGAUCCAGCAAUGCCGCGUGUGUGAAGAAGGCCUGAGGGUUGUAAAGCACUUUCAGUGGGGAGGAGGGUUGAUAGGUUAAGAGCUAAUUAACUGGACGUUACCCACAGAAGAAGCACCGGCUAACUCCGUGCCAGCAGCCGCGGUAAUACGGAGGGUGCGAGCGUUAAUCGGAAUUACUGGGCGUAAAGGGUGCGUAGGUGGUUGAUUAAGUUAUCUGUGAAAUUCCUGGGCUUAACCUGGGACGGUCAGAUAAUACUGGUUGACUCGAGUAUGGGAGAGGGUAGUGGAAUUUCCGGUGUAGCGGUGAAAUGCGUAGAGAUCGGAAGGAACACCAGUGGCGAAGGCGGCUACCUGGCCUAAUACUGACACUGAGGCACGAAAGCGUGGGAGCAAACAGGAUUAGAUACCCUGGUAGUCCACGCUGUAAACGAUGUCAACUAGCUGU